CCUCCGGACAGAAGUAAAGAAUGGCUGUUGAACAUCCACAAGGCACCUGCAAGACCUCUAACUUCACCCUGGAGUUGAGCAGAAACAUGACUUGCCUUUUCCCUCAAAUCAGUCUUGGACUCCAGACAAAGGGUUGGAACUUUGAGCCAAUAAGCAGGUUACUGGUAACAGUGCCUGAGGAAAGACAAAGCUAUGGGUAUCCCCACAGGCGCUGCCUGAGACCCAGCUCUGUGUCUCCUCAUCGUACAGCUUGCGGAGCUCCACCUGCAAGGCCAUCAGCAUGCCCAGGCAGGGGUUAAGCUGGAGGGCCAUGGAGGAGGACAGGCCAGCAGGAUGCCACCUCUGCUCCAGGGCAUGCACCAUGUGUGAGAGAUUCUAAUUAUAUACACGUUCAUAAACAUAUACUCACA
rnacentral:sRNA from 1 species